GGCAGUGGUAGCUCAGUGGUUAAGAUGUUGGGCUUCUAACUGGAAAGUUGUUAGUUCAAAUCUGAGCACUGUCA